rnacentral:rRNA from 1 species
GACGAACGCUGGCGGCGUGCUUAACACAUGCAAGUCGAACGGUGAAGCGCCUUCCUUUUUGGUGGGUGUGGAUGAGUGGCGAACGGGUGAGUAACACGUGAGUAACCUGCCCCCUUCUUCUGGAUAACCGCAUGAAAGUGUGGCUAAUACGGGAUAUUCUGGGUCUGUCGCAUGAUGGGUCUGGGAAAGAUAUUGUUUCGGUGGGGGAUGGGCUCGCGGCCUAUCAGCUUGUUGGUGGGGUGAUGGCCUACCAAGGCGGUGACGGGUAGCCGGCCUGAGAGGGUGGACGGUCACACUGGGGCUGCGACGCGGCCCAGACUCCUACGGGAGGCAGCAGUGGGGAAUAUUGCACAGUGGGCGCAAGCCUGAUGCAACGCCGCCGCGUGAGGGAUGGAGGCCUUCGGGUUGUGAACCUCUUUCGCCAGUGAAGCAGGCCUGCCUCGUUUGUGGGUGGGUUGACGGUAGCUGGAUAAGAAGCGCCGGCUAACUACGUG